rnacentral:rRNA from 1 species
AUAAGAGAGAAGCUGUCCAAAUUAGAAUUUGACUUUUAAGUGAAAAGGCUUAAAUUAAUUAGGGGGACGAUAAGACCCUAUAAAACUUGAUAAAAGGCUUAUUUUAACUAUAAAUUAUAUUUAAAAGUUGUGAAAUUCUCUUUUUAUUUUGUUGGGGCGACAUUGAUAUAAGCUGUAACUGUCUUGAUAAUAAAAUAGUUAUCACUACAAUCUGAUCCUUUUUUAGGGAUAAUAAGUAUAAGUUACUUUAGGGAUAACAGCGUAAUUUUUUCUGAGAGUUCUUCUUGAAGGAAGUAGCCGCACAUGAUCUGAGUCAGACCG